rnacentral:misc_RNA from 1 species
UUCAAGUAUUUAGGUUAUAUCAUCCAAAAGGAGUAAUAGAUGAGAAUCUAACUCAUAGAAUCAAAACAGGUUGGAUGAAACAGAGUAGUGCGAUGGAUGUGUUAUGAGACUGUAGGAUCCUUGAAAAAGUGAAAAGUAAGUUCUAUAGAAUUGUGGUUAAGCUAGUUGUAUUGUAUGGGAGUGAAUGUUGGGCCCUCUAAGGAGGAUCAAUUAAGAUGGUUUGGUCAUAUCCAACGUAGAGUCUUGAAUGUCCUAGUAUGAAAGUGUGAAAAGUUAAUAGUGGAAUGAGUCAGAGAAGAAAGGGGGAGACCUGAAAUGAUGUGGAGGGAAGUAUUAAAAGUUUUACAAUUUUUUGGAUAAUGAUGUGGAAUUGGUUUCAAAUAGAACUGAAUGACGAAAAAAAUCCAUGUAGGCGAUCCCAAUUAGUUUGAGAUAAAGGCUUAGUUGUUGUUGUUUUAGUGGUGUUCAAUGUAUUGUUAGCAUUUCAAACUUUAUCUGAAGCCUAAAGUGAUAAACUAUGUAGCACGGAAACAGAAACGUGAACACGGGGAAACGUGAAAGCAGACACUGGAAAAUGGCAUUUUC